rnacentral:rRNA from 1 species
CCUGGUUGAUCCUGCCAGUAGUAUAUGCUUGUCUCAAAGAUUAAGCCAUGCAUGUCUCAGUGCAAGCCACAUUAAGGUGAAACCGCGAAUGGCUCAUUACAUCAGUUAUGGUUCCUUAGAUCGUACCCACAUUACUUGGAUAACUGUGGUAAUUCUAGAGCUAAUACAUGCAAAUAGAGUUCCGACCAGAGAUGGAAGGAAUGCUUUUAUUAGAUCAAAACCAAUCGGUGGCGGGCUUGCCUUGCUCACCGUUUGACUUGGUGACUCUGAAUAACUUUGUGCCGAUCGCACGGUCUAGUACCGGCGACGCAUCUUUCAAAUGUCUGCCUUAUCAACUGUCGAUGGUAGUUUCUGCGACUACCAUGGUUGUUACGGGUAACGGGGAAUCAGGGUUCGAUUCCGGAGAGGGAGCCUGAGAAACGGCUACCACAUCCAAGGAAGGCAGCAGGCGCGCAAAUUACCCACUCCCGGCACGGGGAGGUAGUGACGAAAAAUAACGAUACGGGACUCAUCCGAGGCCCCGUAAUCGGAAUGAGUACACUUUAAAUCCUUUAACGAGGAUCUAUUAGAGGGCCAGUCUGGUGCCAGCAGCCGCGGUAAUUCCAGCUCUAAUAGCGUAUAUUAAAGUUGUUGCGGUUAAAAAGCUCGUAGUUGAAUCUGUGUCCCACACUGUCGGUUCACCGCUCGCGGUGUUCAACUGGCAUGUCUGUGGGACGUCCUACCGGUGAGAUCAGAUACCGCCCUAGUUCUAACCAUAAACGAUGCCAGCUAGCGAUCCGCCGAAGUUCCUCCGAUGACUCGGCGGGCAGCUUCCGGGAAACCAAAGCUUUUGGGUUCCGGGGGAAGUAUGGUUGCAAAGCUGAAACUUAAAGGAAUUGACGGAAGGGCACUACAAGGAGUGGAGCCUGCGGCUUAAUUUGACUCAACAGGGAAACCUCACCAGGUGUCCAGACACCGGAAGGAUUGACAGAUUGAGAGCUCUUUCUUGAUUCGGUGGGUGGUGGUGCAUGGCCGUUCUUAGUUGGUGGAGUGAUUUGUCUGGUUAAUUCUGAUAACGAACGAGACUCUAGCCUGCUAAAUAGACGUACUUUCUGGUAUCGCAAAGACCCUCCGCUUCGGCUUCGGUCGUUGUUGGUUGUGGUUCUCACUACCGGCGUACAAAUAUAUCUUCUUAGAGGGACAGGCGACAUUUAGUCGCACGAAAUUGAGCAAUAACAGGUCUGUGAUGCCCUUAGAUGUUCUGGGCCACGCGCGCUACACUGAAGAGAUCAGCAGGUUUUCCUGGCCGAAAGGUCCGGUAAUCCGUUGAAGCCUCUUCGUGCUAGGGAUUGGGGCUUGCAAUUCUUCCCCAUGAACGAGGAAUUCCUAGUAAGCGCGAGUCAUAAGCUUGCGUUGAUUAUGUCCCUGCCCUUUGUACACACCCCCGUCGCUACUACCGAUUGAAUUAUUUAGUGAGGUCUUCGGACCGGUGCGCGGCAGCGUUUCGACAUUGCCGAUGUUGCUGGGAAGAUAACCAAACUUGAUUAUUUAGAGGAAGUAAAAGUCGUAACAAGGUUUCCGUAGGUGAACCUGCGGAAG